rnacentral:rRNA from 1 species
UAACCUGCCCAAGAGAUCGGGAUAACACCUGGAAACAGAUGCUAAUACCGGAUAAUAACAGAUGAUGCCUAUCAACUGUUUAAAAGAUGGUUCUGCUAUCACUCUUGGAUGGACCUGCGGUGCAUUAGCUAGUUGGUAGGGUAACGGCCUACCAAGGCGAUGAUGCAUAGCCGAGUUGAGAGACUGAUCGGCCACAUUGGUACUGAGACACGGCCCAAACUCCUACGGGAGGCAGCAGGC